rnacentral:piRNA from 1 species
GACCUAAGUGUGCAGAGGAGGCCAAG